GCGAAAAAGGCACCUUUCCUAAUAUUCUUCCCAAAUUCGCACACAUCAUCUAUCAACCAAAAUCCACUUCGCACACAUCGAUCCAUCAACCAAAAUCGACACGAAACCCUAAUCCUAUAAGCCCAAAUUUCGGGCGAGUUUCACAUUCAAAUCGAGGAAAAUAACCCAGGGUGCAAGUGGAUGCAUUAUCUGUUGCACUAUUCAGAGCUCUGAAUCUUACAACCCGCAAUGAGAUUGCAGCAUGAGGUAUGCAACUUUAUACUUCUUUUAAGAUGUUGGCUGUUGCUGGUGCUCCUUAUGAUACAAGAGGAAGUUAUUGGUAUCAAAGACUCUCAUAGGCUGGUUCCAAAGAUUUUGGAGUGAACUACCGGGAAAUUCCAUUGAAUUUAUUUUUGUAUUUUUAAAAAUUACUUUUCACAAGGGGCACAGACCUUUGUAGAAAGCCCCCUUUGUACAAUGGGCUGGAACCGUCGUAGAAGACCUUGAGUCAACAACGACAGGGGAUACCACAAUGGGCCAUGCCCAUUGUAGAAUUGUUUUUUGCCCCUUGGUAAAAGUCAUUUUUCUUGUAGUGAGUGGGAAUGGCCAUUCCAUUGGAAUAAAAAUCCAUUCCUGGGAAUGAAAAUUUAUUCCACAACUAAACUUAUGGAAUGACCAUUCCAUUUUGAAGUAAUUUAUUUAAAAAAAUCAACUUCCUAAAACACCCUCGUAUUUCAAGUCAAAAAACCACAAUUUCCUUCCACCACAAUCAUAUCCGCCUUUCAUCACCACCACUACCACCAUCGACUUUCACCAUCGCCCACCACUUUUCACCACCA